AUUUAUAUAAUAUAAUAUAAUAUAAUUGAUUUCCAAUCAAAAAAUCUAUUAACUUAGUAUAAAUA
rnacentral:tRNA from 2 species